AGAGAAAAAGAAAGAAAAGAGAGAAAAUUGGGCACAGGGUUUUUGGUGUGUACCCUAGGGUUUCUACCUAGGGUUCGGGAAGUGAGAUUGGUGUGCCACGAGUGUCGUGAGUCCACCAAAUUUUAGAAAGAGAUCCAUCAGCCUCUCAAGUAACUGUGCAGAUGAUCUGGAGCAUCCGAGAAGUCGGCACACAUCGAUCGAAGGAGUUCGAUCAACAUCUGCCAUCAA
rnacentral:lncRNA from 1 species